GCCGAGAGAUGCUCGCAGAGCUCAAGGCAGUAAGAGAGAACCCCAUUCCUUCAGUGCGGACCAGGAGCACUUGUGAUGCUGCGAGCAAACGAAGGCCAUGCUCCGGGCUAGGGGGCUGAGCUGUGACCGGGAUUCAGUUCUCUGCUCUGCUGUUCAUCUCUCGUGGUUCUUCAGGCCCAUCACCAUCCCAGAAGCUUUCCAUUUGUGACAGAAAUAAAUACUUAUCACCAUCAGAGAGGUCUGAAUAUCCCUUGUUUGAAGUGCUGCCAGCACAGCUGCAGAGUGCAUCUCAGAUAAAUGGAAGCCAUGACAAACAGAAUGAGUUAACCCAGUGCAAACUUUCCAUCAAAUAUGCACAGCAGGUUAUAAAAUAGUCCAUAAGAUUAAAAAGUUAAGAAAAGACAUCCAACCUCUGUGCUUAAAAAAAGAUUAAUGGACAAAUUGCCUUCUUUAUAGGGACAAGGAAGAGGUAAAAAAGAAAAGCACACAAAGAUUUUCUGCUGAUCUCUGCAGGCUAAAAGUCAGAGGAUCAAACCUGAAUCAACAAUGCAAACUUCACCGUGUUUCCCACCAUGCAUGACAACUGUGAGCUCUGGAAAUCCGCUGUUCCUUCCUCAUGCAACAGAGCCUUGGGUGGAUCUAUCAAGAAUUUCUCCAUAUUACAGGAUUAUAACAAAAGAAUUUACAUCUCUCAGACUCAAAAAGGCCUGGAUCAUUACAGUUUCAUCUAUUAUAAUUAACUCUUUAUUGUGAGAACAACUCAAAGCAAUUAGGUAUCACAGUACAGAAAAAAGAGAGCUUUUAAACACUCUCCCACCAGCAAGUCUUUGGUGUUAGGUUUGACUUCAGUUUGCUCAGGAGCAUAGGAAGGGACAGGGAAUUCUGCAAAAUCCCUGAUGGACUCUCAGAAACCUCUCCCCAGCCCACUGGGGCUGGUGCUGCUCCUGGUGGCACUCAGCCUUCUGGUAGUAUCUGGAUCAUCAUCUCCCUCAGAAGUCAGGAGUUGGCAGUAACAGACAGUUGUGACAUCCAGUGAAAGCUGGGGAACACAGAGAUUUCCUUAUAUCUUGCUCGGAACUUUCUUCCAUGAAAUUUUACCUUGAAAUUCCAUAAAUAUAUUAAAACAAUAUUUAACUACCUGAGAUGUGUCACCUAUUCAACAUUUCCCAGCAUAUAGUGCCAGUAAAACCAGUAUUUUUCACCUAACUAUUCACAACCAUGUCUGUUAUUGCUGGUUCACCAAUUUGUGUCAAUCUUUUUGGCUGAAAUUACUAUUACUAAUCUAUUACAUAAUUAAUCGCUAAUAUAGUAGUUUCUCUCUAUUUUCUUUAUUAAGUUCUACAAAUCAUUGAAUUCAAUAUAGAAAUUGGAACAUUUUCUGAGACAUUCAGAAUUCAUUAUAUAGUAUGAUUUUUUUUUCUUGUUCUCAGUGGUUCAUAAUAAAUUAAUAAACCCGAUUUCAAGAUUCCUGCUCAGGAGGAAUAUCCUGUCACCCAGUCAGUGACCUGUUACAAUAUCUAUUAUUAGAUGCACUAUUUAAUUAGGAUAUACACUCAGGAGAUCUGCUUAAUCAGGAUGUCUCCCAGUGAACACAUUUAGGUCCAGCAACAUUCAUUGGCAAUGACUUUCAUAAUGGGGAUGGUAACUUCCCUUAACUGGGAUACCUUAGCGUGAGUUAGUGUGUUAACCAAAGUCCUGUACUUCUGUCUUCUCUGACAAGAGCUUUCAGAUUUUCUCAUGCUGUGACAGAAAACACAUGAAAUAUGUAUUGCCCUGGUUUUGGCCAUGAGAGUCAACUUCUUCCUAGUAGCUGGUACAGUGCUGCAUUUUUGGUUUUAAUAGAAAAUAAAUGUUCAGGACACAUUGAUGUUUUUGUUGUUGCUAAGCAGUGCUGACCCUAAGUCAAGGACUUUUCAGUUUCCCAUACUCUAGUGCAGUGUUUCUUUGGAACAGAAGGUCAAGCAGGUUUUCCUCCUACCUUGCUGCUUCCUGGGAUGAGCCUUUUUACCUUCAUGGAUGGGUAUGUAGAGGGCCAGCUCACAUAAUGCACAGUUACUUGGCUGCCUGCUUUGCUCUUCUACACCUUCUAAAAACCCCCUUUUUCUAUCUUGAGAACCACUUUAGGGUCAUCAACAGGGCCCAGUUGUGACAACUGAUGAUCAGAACAAACUGGAGGCCAAAAGCCAUAAUUUCUCACAGCAGGUCAGAGUUUAGACCUUGCUAGAGAAAAAACACUCUCUAUACACACAUCAGAGAAGAAAAAAAGGAAGCAGCUGUAUUAUGUGCCUUGAUUAAACUGCCUCUUUAGUCAUCACCAAUUCUAUCAGCCUCAGUUGAAGAAACCCUAUCAACAGGCAAUUUUAAAAAGAAAAAUAAACAAAAUCUGCAGUCUUUAUGUGCACAUAUUCAAGUUCCAUCUCCAAGAACAUCUAUUAAAAUAUUCUGAGCUAGAAAUUUGCUGCUCAUUGACAAUCUAAGAUAACCAAGAAAUUAUUGAUCUCUCUCCUUCUCCUCCACUAAGAGAAAGAAAGAAUGCUAAAGAGCUGCUGUUGAGAUAAAAUGCACCAUACUUAACUUCAAGUA